CCUACGGGAGGCAGCAGUGAGGAAUAUUGGUCAAUGGACGAGAGUCUGAACCAGCCAAGCCGCGUGAAGGAAGAAGGUCCUGGGUAUCGUAAACUUCUUUUAUAAGGGAACAAAAAGUGGCACGAGUCCCCGGAUGCGUGUACCUUAAGAAAAAGCAUCGGCUAACUCCGUGCCAGCAGCCGCGGGAAUACGGAGGAUCCGAGCGUUGUCCGGAUUUAUUGGGUUAAAAGGGGGCGUAGAGGGGUUGUUACGUCAGUUGUGAAAGUGCGGGGCUUAACCCUAGAAUUGCAUUUGAAACUGGCAGUCUUGAGUUGAGUAGAGGUAUGCGGAAUUCGUGGUGUAGCGGUGAAAUGCUUAGAUAUCACGAAGAACCCCGAUUGCGAAGGCAGCUUACUGGACUGACACUGACGCUGAGGCACGAAAGUGUGGGUAUCAAACAGGAUUAGAUACCCGAGUAGUC
rnacentral:rRNA from 1 species